AGUAAAUAGAUACCCGGGUAGUCCACGCCGUAAACUAUGCACACAAGCUGUAGUGGGAUUUUACUCCUGCUGUGGCGAAAGCUAACGCAAUUAGUGUGCCGCCUGGGGAGUACGGUCGCAAGACUGAAACUCAAAGGAAUUGACGGGGGCCCGCACAAGCGGUGGAUUAUGUGGUUUAAUUCGAAGCAACGCGCAGAACCUUACCUAGGCUUGACAUCCCACGACAACCGUAGAAAUACGGCUUUGUAGCAAUACACGUGGAGACAGGUGCUGCAUGGCUGUCGUCAGCUCGUGUUGUGAAAUGUUGGGUUAAGUCCCGCAACGAGCGCAACCCCUGGAUUUAGUUGCCAGCAUUAAGUUGGGCACUCUAAAUUAACUGCCAGCGUUAAGCUGGAGGAAGGUGGGGAUGACGUCAAGUCCUCAUGGCCCUUACGCCUAGGGCUACACACGUAAUACAAUGGAUAGGACAAAGGGUUGCGAACCCGCGAGGGGUAGCUAAUCUCAAAAACCCUAUCCUCAGUUCGGAUUGGAGGCUGCAAUUCGCC
rnacentral:rRNA from 1 species